rnacentral:lncRNA from 1 species
UGCAACAUGGGCCUCUAACAUGAAGAACAGACUGUGCACAUUGGAGGAGCUGAAUUAAUACAAGAUACUUUUUAUUAGAAGCACAUCUUCAUCUAGCAUUCCCCAUGGCUGCAAAGCAGGUAUUUUAAAGAAGUUACUUUAAGGAAGGGUGAGGAGAUCCAUUUUGGCAAUGGGAACCCUGUAAAUAGUGCUGGUGGGUAGCACUGUGCACACAUUUCUGAGCUUUGCACAGUCAGUGCACUGCCCAACCCUGGCAUUACCUGAGGUGAAGCAGCCCUGUGGUCCAUCUUGUGCUGCUGAUGGAUGCCUGUAGGUACAGGAGCAGAGAAGGGGGAGCCAGCAGCCCCAGAGUAGCAUUCAUCCAGCACUCAAGCACAAUUCUACUCUGCAUUCCGUGCCUUUUUACCUAAGUGAGCUGCUGGCGGUGUAAAUCCUUAGGCAUGGUUGAUUCCCCCAGUAACUGAAAUAAAUGGCUAUUCAUUUCUAGGCCUGCUGCUGCUGCAAAGCUAAUGGAGACCUAGAAAAGGGAGCUGCUUUCAAUUUUGGCUUACCAGCACUGGCAUCAACUCAGCUGUCCCUGCAAAAUCUUCAUGACUGAUGAGGCAGAAAGCAGGAAAGGCACAGCUUUGGUUUUCAGACCACAGAUGAAGCUUCCAGAGAAUCAUUCAUCUGAUUUUCCAUGGCUUCUCCAGGCUUCUCUGGUGGUUGUAGAGGUCCAAACUCCACAGUGGUGCAGGUUUGUGUACAACAGAAACAAAACCAGCUCUCAGAUCACCCAUCCUUGCUCAUUUUCCCAGCCCACAUGCGCUUUCUUCCCUGCUCAAGUCAAGCUGAG